UACGGAGGGAGCUAGCGUUGUUCGGAAUUACUGGGCGUAAAGCGCACGUAGGCGGCUUUGUAAGUUAGAGGUGAAAGCCCGGGGCUCAACCCCGGAAUUGCCUUUAAGACUGCAUCGCUUGAAUCCGGGAGAGGUGAGUGGAAUUCCGAGUGUAGAGGUGAAAUUCGUAGAUAUUCGGAAGAACACCAAGUGGCGAAGGCGGCUCACUGGACCGGUAUUGACGCUGAGGUGCGAAAGCGUGGGGAGCAAACAGG
rnacentral:rRNA from 1 species